AUAACAGCUCCAGUGUGUUUUUCUUGCUUAAAUUUGCCAUCCUGAAUUCCUAAGUAUUUAUAACAACUCAAGUGUAUCCAUAUAUGACAUUAGAUUUUCUUCUUACUUGGAUCUUUUGCCAUGUAAAGUAGGUUGUCUUCAUGUCGCUGUUGUGCUACUGCUAGGCAUGAACAGAAUGGCCUCCUCUUAUUGCGAACCACACUGAUGUUGGCUUCUGAUUUCUGCUGUAAUGGAUUAUUUACUAUGGACAAAUAUGGCAAUAUUCAUUUGGAGCACCGUUUCUUGAGGAUAUGUCUCUUCUACAGACUUGAGAAAGAAGAGAUAGGGCCAAUAAAAUUAGGUGGGAGGUAUGCUGAUGGGUUCAUUUUAGCAUUACUAAUCGACCGCUUGGCAUCCUGAAGCUGAAAGAUUAGCGAGACUGACUAAAUUCUAAACAUGUUCCAUGUGAGAGAAAUAGCAUGUUGAUUUCAUCUUGAAAUAAUCAUAGUUGAGGGAUGAGGUUCGUAACCGAGGGUCAUGUGCAGAGCUGGAGGAAGAAGUUGCGAGGCUUGAAACUCUGUGAAGGGCUCAGGGACAGCAGUGAGGACAAUGCCUCUUUAGUUGUAAUUGUGAUACUCUUGAUGUGCAAUUAAACACUCCUGUGAUACUCCUUAUGCUAAAAUGUUGGUUGUUAGUACAGAGGUGGUGACAUUAUUUGGUUC